GAUGAACGCUAGCUACAGGCUUAACACAUGCAAGUCGAGGGGUAGCAGGGUAGCAAUACCGCUGACGACCGGCGCACGGGUGAGUAACACGUAUCCAACCUUCCCAUAACUCUGGGAUAGCCUUUCGAAAGAAAGAUUAAUACCGGAUAGUACUUUUUCAAGGCAUCUUGAGAAAGUUAAAGAUUUAUUGGUCAUGGAUGGGGAUGCGUUCCAUUAGAUAGUUGGUGAGGUAACGGCUCACCAAGUCUUCGAUGGAUAGGGGUUCUGAGAGGAAGGCCCCCCACAUUGGUACUGAGACACGGACCAAACUCCUACGGGAGGCAGCAGUGAGGAAUAUUGGUCAAUGGGCGAGAGCCUGAACCAGCCAAGUAGCGUGAAGGAUGAAGGUCCUAUGGAUUGUAAACUUCUUUUAUAGUAGAAUAAAGUGACCCACGUGUGGGUUUUUGUAUGUAUACUAUGAAUAAGGAUCGGCUAACUCCGUGCCAGCAGCCGCCGUAAGAC
rnacentral:rRNA from 1 species